UGAGGAAUAUUGGGCAAUGGGCGCAAGCCUGACCCAGCCAUGCCGCGUGAAGGAUGAAUGCCCUAUGGGUUGUAAACUUCUUUUGUACGGGACGAAACUUCCGGUCGUGACCGGGAUUGACUGUACCGUACGAAUAAGCAUCGGCUAACUCCGUGCCAGCAGCCGCGGUAAUACGGAGGAUGCAAGCGUUAUCCGGAUUCAUUGGGUUUAAAGGGUGCGUAGGCGGAAUAAUAAGUCAGUGGUGAAAGCCUGCGGCUUAACCGUAGAAUUGCCAUUGAUACUGUUGUUCUUGAGUAUAGUUGAGGUGGGCGGAAUGUGUAAUGUAGCGGUGAAAUGCUUAGAUAUUACACAGAACACCAAUUGCGAAGGCAGCUCACUAAGCUGUUACUGACGCUGAGGCACGAAAGCGUGGGGAGCAAACAGG
rnacentral:rRNA from 1 species